AAUAGCCGAUUUCGUAUAGUUUAGAGGCAAGUUUUCCCAAAUUUCAAACUUUCAACUGGGUUUAACUUUCGUGGAGAGUAUUUGCAAUCCUCUGCAAGCGGCACGGCUAACUUCAUCGGGAAUUUAGUCUCACAUGGCAUUUAAAUAACAGCGUUCCCAUUUCCACUGGUCUUUACACCCGGUACUCAAAAAGUAUGUGUGUACUUUCCUUCUCUUUGAGUAGGAUAGAUCGGGAAUAAAGUCAAAUUGUCUAAGUCAAUUGUCUAAUUAAUAUUUAUAUAAUCAGCUUAGCAUUGAACUAGCAGAGAGAAAGAGAGAGAACAAUCCCCCUUUAAAGGCCAUUUUGCUCGUCAAGUUCUACAGGUGAUAGUUUUUUACCAUCGCCUGUUCACGCUUAGCUCGAAAAUUUCUUGAAAAAAAAUCCUGCACCUGGCCAUCGGCAUCGCUACAUGUCCCCUCUCUGAUAGGAAAGGGGUAGGUAGGUAGUUCCCUGUCUGGCCAAUACAUAUAUGUACUAUUUUUGUUUCUAAAAAGAAAGUCCGUAAACCUUCUGCUUCUUUAACGAUCAAUCAAUCUACAAUGCACAAAUUAUGUCAUCAGCAUCGGUAGGUUAGUUGGAAAAAUAAAGCGGUUUACUUUUCGAAAUUGUUGAACCUACUUUGUGAAGCAGCACGAUACAUGUUACAGUUCUCUUGGCGAUAUAUUGAAGAGCUUUUGAUAAAAAGACCUGUUGAUACGCCGUAAAUAUUUCAAUUCGGCAUAUGGCAUAUGUCAACUGCCUACAUUUUGACAACAAAAGUGUAUUUUUCGAUUGAAUCUAGAAGUCCUUACAAUUGUGCGUUGGGCAAGAUGUCGCAUAAAAAGCCCCAUAAAUUUCCGUGAUUCUUCAAGUACUCAAAUUUUCCCUUGAAGAAUCAAUUCGGAAUUGAUCUUUCGCUACGCAGAUUGCAGACAUAUUUUGGUUAUUGGUUAAGAUAAAGAAUGACUUGCUAUCUUACCCAAACGUACUUUCGCCAAGUAACAAAAUAUCCAUGACACAUGCCACAUGCCACCGAGCUAAACCCAAGCAAUUUCAAAAUCUUAAAAAUAAUUCAUUUUUGAAGCUAAUAACCCUCCUUGGAAAUUUGGCGCCCACCCACCUUGGCGCUUGUCCCGCGAUCACAUUGAGAGACCUUGCCUUGGCUUGGAUGUCCGAGAAGAACUAGCACAAUUCCGAAUACAGAAUAUAUCCAGAAUUGAGUAUACACAUGUAUUCAACAAUAGAUAUUGAAUGAUAUUACGGUACAGAGAUGUACUAGGCUAUGGGCUCUGAUAUUUGCGCUACAAACUUCUCCUCAGUUUUAUUAUAUCUCCUGCAAGGAGCUAUUAAAGAAAGCUAUUAAAAUCGUUGUUUCGCAUUCAUGUAUGGAAAUGUCCAUGGAAGGAUUCAGCGAGACCAGAAAACUCAAAUUCGAAUACUUUUGUCCCAAUAUUGUUUAAUAAAUCUGGUGGAACAAAACAAAUUCUGUCAAUAGACACAUCAUUUCACUGACUUCUAUGUUAAAACUAUUCAAAUCACCUAAAGUUAAAUUUGUUGGUAUUUUUCGGUAGUUUAUAGUUAUAUUAUAAGUGAUAACAGUGAAGGAAAACAUGACUAUAAAAUUACCGAAAAAGUUAACUUUCGCCUUUUGUGUAAAAGUUAAAAAAGUUGAAGUCAAAAAGGUUACAUCACAGUUAAUGAAAUUAUAUGCCAAUUCGUGAAGUUUUCAAUAAAUUUGGAUGAUAAUAUCGGGGCAAAAGUA